CACAAAUUAAAUUUCGCAGCCCAAAUUCUCAUAUCACUUGCCCCAACCGAUCAAACAAUUAUUUCUGGCCCUAACUCAAUUAAUUAGUCUUCUGGCCCAAGUCACGAUGGGAAGGAGGUACGUUUGGGCUUAAGGCUCCCAAUUGGGAAAUAGGAAUGUGAUACUUGAAAGAAGAACACAGCAGCAGCGCCUUCGAUCAUUUCCCUAAUCUCUCACUCCUCGACUUCUCCGGCGAACUCGCGCUCAGAAUCGCCGGUGUCUGGCCUCACCUUGCUCCAGGGUGGCCACUCGCUCCUCAUCUCUUACGGCGACUUAGCGCCGUCGUAUUCUCUCCGUCGUUACUAUCGCUGUCAGCGUCGGCUCUGAUCGCCGGCGAGGAGCGCUGCCUCCGGCUCAUCGGUGUUCUCUCUCUCUCUCUACGUCGAGUCCUCUCACCCGGCGGAAUCACCGAUAGGAGAGGAGGCAUCGCCUUUCUCCCUCCAUCUCCUUCUCUGUUUCUCCGUCACGCGUGGAAGCUCCGGGGUCGCCGUUACACUCACGCCAUCAGCCUCGGCGAGCAGAAUUGCUGUUUGGCUGCGCCGUCAGCCUCCCGUCAGCGUUUGCUCGACGCCGGACAGCUCGUUUUGUGGUUCUUUAACCUGAUGUGGAGGCUCUGUGAAAUUGUGUUGCUCCUGAUUGUUAGGCCUAGAUGGAUUUCCCUUGGCAUAUUUUAGCUUACUGGAAUGAGCAUUUGUUGCAUCCACUUUAAAAGCUACAUCUUGCUAUAUUCUGGACUAACUGUUGGUGACUUCAUAUCCUUAUUGAGCGUAAGUGCAGCUCCUUUAAAGGCAUUGGCACUACUGAUUGUUGAGGCUAUUCUUAUUUUCUCUAAGUCCGUCCUUGUUCUAUCAUGGUGGCUGUUCUACAUGAUGCAAAGGAGGGUAUGGUGGUGUUUACCUGAUGUAGUUGGUACUGAGAUUUCUAAGCCUUUGAAACACUGCAGCUCCUCCUGCUCUUUCUCACUCUCAACUCACUACUCUAAUUGCCGGAGGAUUUUCAAGUAUGGAAAUGAGAAAGUGUUAUGGUGUAUGGAGGGGUUUAUAUAGGUGAUUUGAUAACUGCAAAUCUGCAACUCCUGAUCAUCCUCUUGGAGGGACAUUUUUGUUGGUUGUGAGAGUGUACUCAUGGGGUGUACAUAGGGGAGCUGGGGCGGUUGGGAGAGAACAUGGCUGCCAAGUUGCUGCUCGCGACGGGCUUGCUGCCCUGGGCCCUUGGGCUCGCUGUAGCUGAUCGGUUUGGGCUCGAAAGGAAGAGGAGUGUAGCAAAAGAAGAGAUUUUAGUUUCUAUUUUUUUUUUCUUUUGCUCAUUCAUGAAUAUUUGCACAAGCAUCCAAUAUUCUUUUCUCUUCUUCAAUUUAAGUCCACAUGAACGUAGACAUGUAAUUGAAUGUAUUGAUCGUGGUGUAAGCGAAUACUUUGGUUCGGGAAUAAGGUCCUUAUUCAUGACGUGCUA